CUAAGCCCUCUCAAGCAGGGCCGCCAUAGGGAACUGUGGGUACAUGGCUCCAGAUGUGUGGUUCUGGGCAUGUUGGAUCCAGGGCAGACCUAUGAGGUGUGCGUGGCUUCAGUGAGAGGACAGAACAAUAGCCAAGAGAUGUGCAGUACCAACACCACAGAUCCUUGGCCAGUGCAGGUAGCUGUGCCUGUUUCUGUGGGAAGCACUUGUGUGAUUCUGCAUGUCCAGAGACCUGUGCUGGGUGUGUGUGAUGGCGUGAGGGUGUGUGCGUGUAAGGGAGUGUGUGAGGGCAUAUGUGUGUGUAAGGGAGUGUGUGAGUGGUCCCCACUCCUUCCCGGUCAGAACACAGUGGUGGUCAGCAGACUGGUUCCAGGGGAGGAGUAUCACUUCAGCGUCUACAGCACCAGCCAACAGAGAGCCGGACCGCCCUACAACACACACACAGUCAGGACCCGCCUUGUGUCUCCCAGCAAUGUGAAAGCGGGAGAGGUAACAGAAUCUUCAAUAGAAGUGUUGUGGAGUCCCGCCCAUGGACAUGGACACAACUAUGAAGUAAUCUGUCUCAACUGUCAUCACACACUAAUGGUCCAGAAGGUGUCGGUUCCCAGGACAGUGUUCUCUGGG
ensembl:lncRNA